rnacentral:rRNA from 1 species
GAUAAACGCUGGCGGCGUGCAUGAGACAUGCAAGUCGAACGAACGAGCUUGCUCGUUAGUGGCGGACGGCUGAGUAACGCGUAGGUGACCUGCCCCGAAGUGGGGGAUAACGGCCCGAAAGGGUUGCUAAUACCGCAUGUGGCGACGUCUUCGGUGACGUCAUCAAAGCCGCGAGGCGCUUCGGGAGGGGCCUGCGUCCGAUUAGCUCGUUGGUGGGGUAACGGCUCACCAAGGCGACGAUCGGUAGGUGGUCUGAGAGGACGAUCACCCAGACUGGGACUGAGACACGGCCCAGACUCCUACGGGAGGCAGCAGUCGGGAAUUUUGCUCAAUGGGCGCAAGCCUGAAGCAGCAACGCCGCGUGAGGGAUGAAGGCCUUCGGGUUGUAAACCUCUUUUCUCAGGGACGAUGAUGACGGUACCUGAGGAAUAAGUCACGGCUAACUACGUGCCAGCAGCCGCCGUAAGAC